rnacentral:rRNA from 1 species
UACAGAGGUCUCAAGCGUUGUUCGGAUUCAUUGGGCGUAAAGGGUGCGUAGGCGGCGCGGUAAGUCGGGUGUGAAAUCUCGGAGCUUAACUCCGAAACUGCAUUCGAUACUGCCGUGCUUGAGGACUGGAGAGGAGACUGGAAUUUACGGUGUGGCGGUGAAAUGCGUAGAUAUCAGGAAGAACACCAAUGGCGAAGGCAGCUCUCUGGGACGGUACUGACGCUGAGACGCGAAAGCGUGGGGAGCGAACAGG